AGCGAACGUUAGCGGCGCGCCUAACACAUGCAAGUCGCACGAGAAAGGGAGCAAUCCCCGGUACAGUGGCGCACGGGUGAGUAACACGUAGAUGACCUUCCCUGGAGUGGUGGAUAACCUGCCGAAAGGCGGGCUAAUACAGCAUGGGACCACAUGGUUUUGACCGAGUGGUGAAAGCGGGCCUCUGUUCACAAGCUCGCGCUCUGGGAUGGGUCUGCGUCCCAUCAGCUAGUUGGUGAGGUAAUGGCUCACCAAGGCAUCGACGGGUAGCUGGUCUGAGAGGAUGACCAGCCACACUGGAACUGAGACACGGUCCAGACUCCUACGGGAGGCAGCAGUGGGGAAUCUUGCGCAAUGGGCGAAAGCCUGACGCAGCGACGCCGCGUGGGUGAUGAAGGCCUU
rnacentral:rRNA from 1 species